GCGCGAGUGGUGGAAUGGUAGACACGCUUGUCUGAGGGGCAAGUGCCGCAAGGUAUGGAGGUUCAAGUCCUCUCUCGCGCACCA
rnacentral:tRNA from 1 species